rnacentral:misc_RNA from 1 species
GAAAAAGACAGUAUCAACUUUAUUUUCUGACAGGAACUGUAACUCCGUGUGAUAGAAUUCAUAUGCUUUCAUGCCCCUGCGCAGAAACCACUCGUCUUUAUAAAAUCUUUCUUUUUUCCCCUGCUUCUUUCUCCUUCAACAAUGCAGACCUGCCCUGCCUCGCCCUAUCUUUAGAACGACAUUCCAAUCUCACCAACCUAUAUUUUACAAAUUAUAAGUUUAUAAUUCCCCCUUUUGAUUUUCCAAUGUCUUGAUCUUUCAUUUCUUUGUCUCUAUACAUGGCUUUUCUUCUCAGGUUUUUCUCUGCUUUUAUCUUCGUCUUGAUCCCAGUCUCAUGUCAGCCCGGUGAACUCUUCUUUGCUGGAUUUAAAGGUGCUGACACCAAUAUAACCUUGAGCGGAGUUGCAGAGAUUGGUAAAAAUGGUAUUCUUCGCUUAACUAAUGAGACUAGUAGAUUAAUGGGUCAUGCCUUUUAUGCUUCUCCAUUUCAGUUCAAGAACUCUACUAAUGGCAAAGCUUUCUCUUUUAGUACCUCUUUCGCUUUUGCUAUAGUCCCAGAGUAUCCAAAACUUGGUGGCCAUGGCCUGGCUUUCACAAUCUCAACAUCUAAGAAUCCACAGGCUCUUCCCAGUCAGUAUCUUGGCCUUCUCAAUGCAAGUGAUUUAGGUAACUUCACAAAUCACCUUCUGGCUGUUGAGUUUGACACUGUUCAAGAUUUCGAGUUCGAAGACAUCAACGACAACCAUGUUGGUAUUGACAUCAACAGCUUGAAGUCUAACGCAUCUACUCCUGCAGCAUAUUACACUGACGAUUCUUCAAAGCUGGAUCUAAAUCUCAAGGGUAAAUAUGCAAUCCAGGUUUGGGUUGAUUAUGAUUCAGUACAGAAUCUUCUCAACGUGACUAUUUCGCCCACUUCCAAGAAACCCAGAUUGCCAAUCUUGACCUUUCCUAUAGAUCUCUCACCAAUACUUAAAGACUAUAUGUACGUUGGCUUUUCUUCUUCAACAGGUUUGCUUGCUAGCUCACACUAUAUCCUGGGCUGGAGCUUUAAGAUGAAUGGGCAAGCUCGGGCUCUGGAUCUUUCUUCUUUGCCUUCACUUCCGGCUGGUCCCAAAAAGAUGCAUACGGGUUUAACAAUUGUGGUCGCAGUCUCAUCAGUUUUUCUUGCAAUUAUCGCUAUAUCCUCUGUUAUCUUCUACGUGAUUAGAAAGAUUAAGAACGCUGAUAUAAUAGAAGAUUGGGAGCUGGAGAUUGGGCCUCAUCGAUACUCUUAUCAAGAACUCAAGCAAGCAACCAAUGGUUUCAGCGACAAAGAGCUACUUGGGCAAGGUGGUUUUGGCCAAGUUUUUAAAGGUACACUUCCCGAUUCAACGGCUCAAGUAGCGGUCAAGCGAAUUUCAAAUGAAUCUAAACAAGGUCUGCGCGAAUUCUUAUCAGAAAUCGCUAGUGUUGGUAGACUUCGUCAUCGAAAUCUAGUUUUAUUACUGGGUUGGUGUCGGCGAAGAGAUGAUUUUCUUCUCGUUUACGAAUAUAUGGCUAAUGGGAGUUUAGAUAAGUUGUUGUUCGAUGAACCAAAAAAAAUUUUAAACUGGGAAAAGAGGUUCAAGAUUAUAAAAGAUGUUGCUUCUGGGCUUCUUUAUUUACACGAAGGCUAUGAGCAGGUGGUGAUUCACAGAGAUGUCAAAGCUAGCAAUGUACUACUAGACAGUGAACUGACUGGGAAACUUGGCGAUUUUGGACUUGCAAAAUUAUACGAACACGGAUCAAACCCAAGCACAACCAGAGUUGUGGGCACGUUAGGUUAUCUAGCACCAGAAUUGCCAAGGACAGGAAAGGCCACAGCAAGCUCAGAUGUUUAUGCAUUUGGUGCACUUUUGCUAGAAGUUGCUUGUGGGCGCAGACCUGUUGAACCCAAGGCGUUGCCUGAAGAGAUGGUGUUGGUGGAUUGGGUGUGGGAAAGGUUCAGGGAAGGCAGAGUCCUUGAUGUGGUGGACCACAGGCUAAAUGGGCAGUAUAAUGAGAGUGAAAUGGCGGUGGUUUUGAAAUUGGGAAUAAUGUGUUCAAACAAUGUGCCAAUAGCAAGGCCAACAAUGAGGCAAGUGAUGAGGUUUUUGGAUGGAGAGGCUCAAGUGCCUGAAAACUUGAGGGCUCCACAGUGGGCAGCAUGUGCUGAUGGAGGGAGGGACGUAAUUCAUGGGUUUGAUGAUUUUGUCAACUCUUUUGCAUCUUCUUCUUUUGACAAAAUGAGCUCAUCCUAUUCGAUUAUGGAAAAUAGGGAUAUCGAUAAUAGUUUUGCUUCUCUUUCUACUUCUCCUUUUUCUCUUCUCCGUGUUAGAGAGGAGACGAGGUAGCCAUUGAUUGAGAGGUUAUAAUUUUCCUUUUUCUUUUUAUUUUCCUUCUAAUAUUAAUGCAUAUUUCUUGAGGGGAAGAAAUCAACAUGGCUUUGAAAUAUCACGUCUUAUAGUGAAGGUUUUGCCUCUAAUUGAUUUAAAUUUAAUGUCAAAUU